CCUACGGGAGGCAGCAGUGGGGGAUAUUGGACAAUGGGGGGAACCCUGAUCCAGCGACGCCGCGUGAGUGAAGAAGUAUUUCGGUAUGUAAAGCUCUGUCAGCAGGGACGAAGAUGACGGUACCUGGGGAGGAAGCUCCGGCUAACUACGUGCCAGCAGCCGCGGUAAUACGUAGGGAGCGAGCGUUGUCCGGAAUUACUGGGUGUAAAGGGAGCGUAGGCGGGGAUGCAAGUUGGGUGUUAAAUCUACCGGCUCAACUGGUAGUCGCACUCAAACCUGCAGCUCUUGAGUGAAGUAGUGGCCGGCGGAAUUCCUAGUGUAGCGGUGAAAUGCGUAGAUAUUAGGAGGAACACCAGUGGCGAAGGCGGCCUGCUGGGCUUUUACUGACGCUGAGGCUCGAAAGUGUGGGGAGCAAACAGGAUUAGAUACCCCAGUAGUC
rnacentral:rRNA from 1 species